rnacentral:rRNA from 1 species
CUGGUGCCAGCAGCCGCGGUAAUUCCAGCUCCAAUAGCGUAUAUUAAAGUUGUUGCAGUUAAAAAGCUCGUAGUUGAAUUUCGGGGUUAGUAGGUUGGUCGUGCCACUGGUACGUACUGGUCUCACUGACUCCUCCUUCCUGAUGAACUGUAAUGCCAUUAAUUUGGUGUUGCAGGGAAACUGGACUGUUACUUUGAAAAAAUUAGAGUGUUUAAAGCAAGCUAACGCUUGAAUACAUUAGCAUGGAAUAAUGAAAUAGGACGUUCGAUCCUAUUUUGUUGGUUUCUAGGAUUGACGUAAUGAUUAAUAGGGAUAGUUGGGGGCAUUAGUAUUCAAUUGUCAAAGGUGAAAUUCUUGGAUUUAUUGAAGACUAACUACUGCGAAAGCAUUUGCCAAGGAUGUUUUCAUUAAUCAAGAACGAAAGUUAGGGGAUCGAAGACGAUCAGAUACCGUCGUAGUCUUAACCAUAAACUAUGCCGACUAGGGAUCGGAUGAUGUUAAUUUUAUAAUGACUCAUUCGGCGCCUUACG